UACGGAGGGGGACUAGCGUUGUUCGGAAUUACUGGGCGUAAAGCGCACGUAGGCGGAUUUGUAAGUCAGGGGGUGAAAUCCCGAGGCUCAACCUCGGGGUCUGCAUCCGAUACUGCCCGGCUAGAGGUAGGUAGGGGAGAUCGGAAUUCCUGGUGUAGCGGUGAAAUGCGCAGAUAUCAGGAGGAACACCGGUGGCGAAGGCGGAUCUCUGGGCCUUACCUGACGCUCAGGCGCGAAAGCUAGGGGAGCGAACUGG
rnacentral:rRNA from 1 species